UCCGUAGGUGAACAUGCGGAGGGAUCAUUACCGAGUUUACAACUCCCAAACCCCUGUGAACAUACCUUAAUGUUGCCUCGGCGGAUCAGCCCGCGCCCCGUAAAACGGGACGGCCCGCCAGAGGACCCAAACUCUAAUGUUUCUUAUUGUAACUUCUGAGUAAAACAAACAAAUAAAUCAAAACUUUCAACAACGGAUCUCUUGGUUCUGGCAUCGAUGAAGAACGCAGCAAAAUGCGAUAAGUAAUGUGAAUUGCAGAAUUCAGUGAAUCAUCGAAUCUUUGAACGCACAUUGCGCCCGCUGGUAUUCCGGCGGGCAUGCCUGUUCGAGCGUCAUUUCAACCCUCAAGCCCCCGGGUUUGGUGUUGGGGAUCGGCUCUGCCUUCUGGCGGUGCCGCCCCCGAAAUACAUUGGCGGUCUCGCUGCAGCCUCCAUUGCGUAGUAGCUAACACCUCGCAACUGGAACGCGGCGCGGCCAUGCCGUAAAACCCCAACUUCUGAAUGUGACCUCGGAUCAGGUA
rnacentral:rRNA from 1 species